rnacentral:rRNA from 1 species
CAGUCGUGACUGAGAGGCUCAGCCGGUUCUGCCGGUGUAUUCCCCUCAGUCGGGUCAACAUCAGUUUUGUUCGGUGGAUAAGGGCAGCUGGAAGGUGGCACCUCCGGGUGUGUUAUAGCCAGCUGUCGCAUACAUCGAAUGAGACUGAGGAAUGUAGCUUCGAUCUCGUAUUGAAGUGUUAUAGUCCUUUGGUAGAUGUGAUGA